GGGCCUGUAGUAAAACGGUAUUACACAUCCAUGGCAUGGAUGGGGUCGGGGUUCGAUUCCCCGCAGGUCCACAA
rnacentral:tRNA from 1 species